CACAAACUGUGGCCUCGGCACCCUGGAUUCAAAUCCCAGGUCGCCCACUCUUAGCGCUGUGCGACUUUGGAUGAGUCAGUCAGCAUCUCUGUGUCUUGGGGUCCUUCCUCAUCUAUAAAACGGGGGAGCACCUGUUCCUACCGCAGGGACCGUCUGGAGGAUUCGGUGAGUUACCGUAGGCAAAGCACCUUGCUCGGGGCCUGGCACAGAGUGAGGGCUUUAUUGGCUUCAGGUACUGGGCACCCCAAUCCUCGCCGGCUGAUGUCAGGGUGCAUCUGGCUGGGAUCACCGUAAGCCAGGGAGUCCACCGGGGACCAGACCCGACUGCCACCUCUGGCCCCCACCGCCUCCUGGCUGCAUGAGCAGAAAGCAGCCGGCCCAGCGCCCCUACUGCCAUGGCCAGGUGAUGUGUCCGGUGUCCAGCAGCCCCAUCGCCACCCGAAGGCCUGGGGCUGACAAUUAGCCUCUCUCAGGCUCUCCGAUCCCCUCUGUGCUGAGGGAACACGACAGGCCCACGGUACCCGGCGGAAAGCUGAAUGGUCGAAGCCUUACCUGGUUGUCCAGAUUCUGCACAGACAGGCCCAGGCGGUCCAGCUUCUGGUUGACGAAGUUCACAAUGGCCUACCCAGGGAAGAAUGAGGACCUCAGGCCCAGGGCUCGGGUGUCCCUCCUUCCCACUGCAGGGGGCAGAAAGCUCUCCCCGCGUGGUGUCCCAGGCACAGCAGCUUAAAUAAUUCAUCGAAGACGUCCUCUGCAGACAGAGCCAAUAAACACCGCAUCACGAUGCUGUUAUCUCGGCGCCAAACCGGGACGUAUUUCCAUACAAGGUUCUCGGGGUACCCAGCCCAGAGGGGGCUGUAGCUCCAGCGCGCGGUUCUUGAAUUAAAUCAACGGGCCUGGGUCUGUGUCGCUGCUCCCAGGCUGUGCGACCCCGGGGGAACCGCUUCCCCUCUCUGUGCCUUGGGGUCAGAAAAAACCUACUAGAUGGGGCCAUGGCACAUUUGGUGGCAGGUGACACACUUGGGCGCACAGUAGGGCUCUCGUCCCAUCUAUGGCGGAUGCCCAUUGCACCCGCUCAGCCAGCACCCCUCCUCCUCCGGGAAGCUGG